rnacentral:rRNA from 1 species
UACGUAGGUGGCAAGCGUUGUCCGGAAUUACUGGGUGUAAAGGGAGCGCAGGCGGGAAGCCAAGUCAGCUGUGAAAACUACGGGCUUAACUUGUAGACUGCAGUUGAAACUGGUUUCCUUGAGUGAAGUAGAGGUUGGCGGAAUUCCGAGUGUAGCGGUGAAAUGCGUAGAUAUUCGGAGGAACACCGGUGGCGAAGGCGGCCAACUGGGCUUUAACUGACGCUGAGGCUCGAAAGUGUGGGGAGCAAACAGG